rnacentral:rRNA from 1 species
CGACGGUGACGUAACACGUAUCCAACCUGCCGUCUACUCUUGGACAGCCUUCUGAAAGGAAGAUUAAUACAAGAUGGCAUCAUGAGUCCGCAUGUUCACAUGAUUAAAGGUACUCCGGUAGACGAUGGGGAUGCGUUCCAUUAGAUAGUAGGCGGGGUAACGGCCCACCUAGUCUUCGAUGGAUAGGGGUUCUGAGAGGAAGGUCCCCCACAUUGGAACUGAGACACGGUCCAA